rnacentral:rRNA from 1 species
GACGAACGCUGGCGGCGUGCUUAACACAUGCAAGUCGAACGGAAAGGCCCUGCUUUUGUGGGGUGCUCGAGUGGCGAACGGGUGAGUAACACGUGAGUAACCUGCCCUUGACUUUGGGAUAACUUCAGGAAACUGGGGCUAAUACCGGAUAGGAGCUCCUGCUGCAUGGUGGGGGUUGGAAAGUUUCGGCGGUUGGGGAUGGACUCGCGGCUUAUCAGCUUGUUGGUGGGGUAGUGGCUUACCAAGGCUUUGACGGGUAGCCGGCCUGAGAGGGUGACCGGCCACAUUGGGACUGAGAUACGGCCCAGACUCCUACGGGAGGCAGCGGUGGGGAAUAUUGAACAAUGGGCGGAAGCCUGAUGCAGCAACGCCGCGUGCGGGAUAACGGCCUUCGGGUUGUAAACCGCUUUCGCCUGUGACGAAGCGUGAGUGACGGUAAUGGGUAAAGAAGCACCGGCUAACUACGUG